UUGAUCCUGGCUCAGAAUCAACGCUGGCGGCGUGCCUCAGACAUGCAAGUCGAACGCGAAAGUUCCCUUCGGGGAGCGAGUAGAGUGGCGUCCGGGUGAUUAACACGUAGGUAAUCUACCUUUGGGUGGGGAAUAACAAUCGGAAACGGUUGCUAAUACCGCAUAAUGCAGCGGCACCGCAUGGUGACAGUUGUUAAAGUGGGGGAUCGCAAGACCUCGCGCCUAGAGAGGAGCCUGUGGCGGAUUAGCUAGUUGGCAGGGUAACGGCCUACCAAGGCAACGAUCCGUAGCCGGCCUGAUAGGGCGGUCGGCCACACUGACACUGAAAUACGGGUCAGACUCCUACGGGUGGCAGCAGUCGGGAAUUUUGGGCAAUGGGCGCAAGCCUGACCCAGCAACUCCGCGUGAAGGAUGAAAUCCCUCGGGAUGUAAACUUCGCAAGAACGGGAUGAAUAAGUGGGGGCAAAUACCCUCCAUGAUGACGGUACCGUUUGUAAGCUCCGGCUAACUCCGUGCCAGCAGCCGCGGUAAUAAGGGCGU
rnacentral:rRNA from 1 species